ACCUGAGCCAGAGUCGGAAGCUUAACAGACCGAGCCGCCCAGGUGGCCCCUGGGACUUCUUAUCCAUGGCCUCCAGCUGGCCUCCCGGACACGGGCAGAGUGCUGGCAGAGACUGCUUACCUCUGGACCUACUCAGUCACAGAGAGCAAAGCUUUUCUGGGCCUCCAGCAUGUAGAUGGCAGAUAAAGGGACUUCUCAGCCUCCAUUAUCACGGAUCUGGAAGCCAAGGUGAGAAUCUCAUUCAAUGUGAGCUUUACAACACCCUCGGACCAUCCACAGAGUGAAUGCUACUCUCUUCUGUUGUUAUGGAGGAAAGACUUGUAGCUCAGCGCAUUGUGACCUGCUGGAAGUCACACAGUCAGUAGACCAGCCCACCUUCAGCCUGGGUCUUCUGAUGCUGAGACCAAGGCGUUUCCAGAACACCACGUUGAGACUUCACAAGUAAAACCCUGACUCAGAAACACCUCGGGAUCCUGUAUUUAU